UCAUUUAAUUGUAUUAAAAAUUGGAAAUUAACUCAAUUGAAUUUUGUUUUGGAGUCCAUAGGCUAGAUUUAAUUUUAUUUGAAGUCCAUAGGAUUCAUUCUAUUUUCUCUUACGUAUUUUUUAUUUCACAAAUCCAUAGCAUUUGUUAAUAUCUUUCUCUCUCUUCAAGAAAGAAGUUUUGAGAAGUUGUUUUCCACAAACAAACCCUAGCCGCCGGCCACCAAAUCCAAUGCCUCCAACUUGAUUUUGCUACCAUCAAAUCUCAUCCUNNNNNNNNNNNNNNNNNNNNNNNNNNNCUUUUGUUUUGCUUUUUUGUUGUUGUUAGAGUGGUGCUUUCAAUUUGUUUAGAUCUAGAUUUUGAUCACCACACACCACCAUUUAAAAAAUCAUCACUAUAAAAAGGCUCUCCUCCUUCUCAUCCACAAAAUCCAGAACGAAAAAUUAAGAUCGGAAUACAUUUGCCAAUAGCCACCGCGCCGGAAAAUGUAGCCACCGCGCCGGAAAAUAUAACCACCGAAUCGGAAUCGUGCUAGAAAUUGUAUCACUGUGCCAGAAACAUACUUUCUUUCUUUUCUUUUUACAUCUUUGUAUGAGAGGUUUGCUUCUUUGUCUAAGCUCCUAGUUUAACAACAACAAAAUCAGAGAAAUUAAAGGAAUUUUUUUUGCUGGUAAAGUAAUUUUUUUAUAUCUAUGUUCAUAUCUAUAAAGAAACACUCAUAUUUAUUUAAUUUAAUUUCAUGUUUAAAAUUAUUACUGCAAGGUCUUUUUAAAACAAAAUAGCAAGGUCAUUUUCUAGUUUGAAACCUACCAAGCUCUUAUUAUUCCGCAACAUUUUUUUUUUAAUUACUUAAUAAAUGUUAGUAGUUGUUUUCAUUCUACAAAAUGUUAUUUAAAAAAU
rnacentral:lncRNA from 1 species